rnacentral:lncRNA from 1 species
AGACUGAAGUCGUAUGCAGAUGUGAGGAGAAAAGCUUAAAGUAGCCCAGAGCAGACUUAUAGACUGCGUACUUGAAAAUAUCUCCCAUAAAGGGGGUAAAGAGGUUCGGCAAGAAAGGGAAACUUAGUCCUCGCUAUAUCGGUCCUUUCAGAAUUCUCAGUUGUUUAAAAAAGGUAUCUUACGAGCUUGAGUUACCUUUUGAUCUAGCUUCAGUAAACCCAG